rnacentral:rRNA from 1 species
AUGAACUCAUCCCUUAUUAGCCUUCUCAUGUAUAUGAUGGGAUUCUGUAGUCUUCAUGAAUCCCUUCAACAGGAGAUCGCCAAAUACCUCUCCCGGUUUUUCUAGGCGGGAGAAAACAAUAAGCAGAAAUACCACUUGGUCAAGUGGUCUGAGAUCUGCAAACCCAAGGAUCAAGGUGGCCUUGGUGUGAUUUCCUCCAAGCGCAUGAAUAUCGCUCUUCACACAAAGUGGCUGUGGCGCAUUGAGACCGGUGUCGGUAGGCUGUGGUUGGAUAUUAUCCGCGCAAAGUAUUUGCAUGGACAACCACUCACCUUUGCCCCUAGGGUUGGGGGGUCUCAGUUUUGGCUGUCCAUUAUUCAACUGCUACCGGUCCUCCGGAUCGCCAAAAUUGUUGUGGGCUCGGGUUCUAACUCAUUAUUCUGGCUGGAUCGAUGGACGGGAACCAAACCGUUCGCGGAAAGGUUCUAUGCCUUAUUCUCGAUCUGCUCCCACCCACAGCUUUCGGUGGGAGCAGCCCUUCAGGACCUUGGCACCAUCUCCUUUCGUCGCACCUUUGGGGAUCUUGAGCGAGCACAGUGGGACGGGCUUUUGGAAUGA